rnacentral:rRNA from 1 species
CCUUAGAUAUUCGGUGGUUCCGCAUGGAAGGGCCAUCGCUCAACGGAUAAAAGCUACCCCGGGGAUAACAGGCUUAUCUCCCCCAAGAGUCCACAUCGACGGGGAGGUUUGGCACCUCGAUGUCGGCUCGUCGCAUCCUGGGGGUGUGGGCGGUCCCAGAGGUUGGGCCGUUCGCCCACUGAAGCGGCCCGCGAGCUGGGUUCAGAACGGCGUGAGACAGUUCGGUCGCU